ACCAUCCUUUUCUUGGGGUUGCUUUACUGUCCAAUGAACAUGUAGUGAGAGCAGUACUGCUAAUGCCUAAACAACACGUCUGCAUCAGCUAAGGCUUUGGUUUUGGCUCAGUGCAAUUUUUGGAAAA
ensembl:snRNA